UCCAUUACACUACCCUGCCUCUUCUCUGUGAGAGGCAGUGGGGUGUAGUGGAG
rnacentral:pre_miRNA from 1 species